CCUACGGGAGGCAGCAGUAAGGAAUCUUCCACAAUGGACGAAAGUCUGAUGGAGCAACGCCGCGUGCAGGAUGAAGGCUUUCGGGUCGUAAACUGCUUUUAUAUGGGAAGAUUAUGACGGUACCAUAUGAAUAAGGACCGGCUAACUACGUGCCAGCAGCCGCGGUAAUACGUAGGGUCCAAGCGAUAUCCGGAAUUACUGGGCGUAAAGCGUGUGUAGGUGGAUUAAUAAGUGUGAUGCGAAAUCCGGCGGCUCAACCGUUUGGACUGUGUCGCAUACUGUUAGUCUAGAGGACGGCAGAGGUAAGUGGAAUUACGGGUGUAGCAGUGAAAUGCGUAGAUAUCCGUAGGAACACCAAUGGCGAAGGCAGCUUACUGGGCCACACCUGACACUGAGACACGAAAGCGUGGGGAGCGAACAGGAUUAGAUACCCUGGUAGUCCACGCCGUAAACGAUGCAUACUAUUAGUAUGGGGUAUCGACCCCCUGUGCUGAGAAGCUAACGCGAUAAGUAUGCCGCCUGGGGAGUACGAGCGCAAGCUUAAAACUCAAAUGAAUUGACGGCUGAGACGNGCGACGGACGACGACGAGGGAGGAGG
rnacentral:rRNA from 1 species